UUUGGUAUUCCUCUUCCCGGAAAAUGCCGUUGCUUAACAAAUGGGGCCUCUGUGGCUCCCCGACUCUUCCUCUCCUGCGGCCCUCUCUCUCGCAUGCUAACCUAAUCCACCGUUACCGCCCGCCUCUUCCUUUGAAGAAGAGGUGCGGACGAGUUCUCUCGUGCUCCCUUCGCCAGUUCGCAAGAUCGAUGGAGGGCGAACGGCGACCCACAACGGCAGAGGAAGAGGAGGAGGGUGUCCCCUCGAUGAAGCUCCUCUUCGUCGAGAUGGGCGUCGGCUAUGAUCAGCAUGGGCAAGAUAUAACCACCGCUGCGAUGCGCGCUUGCCGCGACGCCAUCUCUUCCAACUCCAUCCCUGCUUUUCGACGAGGGUCGAUUCCUGGUGUUAAUUCGGAUCAGAUGAAGCUUGUAAUCAAGCUAGGAGUCCCUCGGUCUACCCAGCAUCUGCUCGAUAUUGAGAUGGUUAAAUCUGUCUUUCCUUAUGGCGAAAUUAUUAAGGUGGAGGUUGUCGAUGGAGGGAUGAUAUGCUCAAGUGGUGUUUAUCUUGAAGCGAUGGGAGACAAAAAUGAUGAUUGCUACAUAGUGAAUGCUGCGAUAUAUGUUGGCUACUGAUGCCUUUAGUGCUGCAUAUAGGAUCUGAUUCCAAGUAUCUGGAAGGCCGGAAACGCACCAGUGGCUGCAAUCCAUGCCUGCGUGGUCUCCACUGUAUGCAGAUGGAUGUGCGUCUUUUCUGAGUUGGGAGAGCAAGGUUAUGUCAAGCAGAUAAACUGGCUUUGUCAUGGUACUAAGAACACUCUUCACGAUGCCUUGAGCUGGAACUGGACCACCAGGAACUUACAGGUAAUGGGUUGGGGAUAUCCCUUGGAAGAAGACUUUGGUUGUGGCAGGAUUGACGUUGGAAUCCACCCAUUUGGCCCAAGUAGCUAGCCCCUUGUUGAAGGCCAGCAACCUAUCCAUGUCUCUGUAAACCUGGACUCCGUCCUGUACAUAGUCCCAUCUGCACCACAAGAUUGCUGUUGUUAGACUGACAUGUCCACCAAUGCCAGGUAUUGAAGAUUAACACGUCGGCGCCCAGCCACACCGAGCCAGACUGGAUGGAAUCGAGCUUCAGGACGCGGCCGAUGGGUUCGUUCACUAUGUCCACCAGGUAUGUGGUAUGGUAGUACACUACCGACACUCCAUAAUCCUGCAGUAGCGCCUGUUGUUAGCUGUAGUUUCAUUUAUUUCUUUUACCAUGCUUUCGCUGUUGCACUCAUGUGCUUUCAUAGCUAAAAUAUCUACACGACUGGAGCAGCAGGUGAGCUAACUAUUUCAGACUGUUCUCUCGUUUGUCUCUCGAUAUUUUUGGGUAUAUGACGGAAUUUGUUUUGUGAAAAAUGCUCAUAUAUAGGCUAGAAUCCGUGGCAGAGAGUAGCUUGCCACAAGGGAAAUUUCGUUGUUAGAUGGCCCUUCAGAAUCACACGAGGGCUUACUGCUGAUGCGAGGCAGAACUGUUCUUGGGACCCCAAACUUUAUUUCCAUUGUAAUACCCAAGAAUGCUUCGUCGUACAAGAUGGGUGUAAAAUAAAAGCUGAGGCAAAGGUUCAGAGAAAGGAGAAAAAGGCGGAACGGUUUGAGGUGACAUGAAACAAAGAGGAACAGUGAAUGACAGAAAAGAGAAAAAAGUAGGGGCAGGACGAAGCAAAGCAGAAGCCGAUGAACAGGGGCCGAUUUGGUAUCUAAAUGAAUGAAAAAUUGGAUUGUCAAAAUCCUUUGUCGGGUUUGCACUCUGGCCAUGAUGCAUUGACCGGAAAAAACGCAUCGCCAUACUGGAGGCCAGAUGGAAAGUAACGCCAGUGAUGGCUCUUUCUCGAUGGCAUGUUCUCUGCAGAAGAUGACAGAAGAAUAAGAAAACUCGGGGUUUUUACUCUUUAGGAAGCUUAUCAAAAGGUCAUGGCUAGUUGCCUUGGUGCAGACGAACUGAACACUUGUUCCAAUCUCUACAACUUUAAGAGGUUUCUUAUUAUAAAAAGCGGAACGGCGCGUCACGGAGUUCGGUCAUUACCUCUCGUGACAGGAGCGCAGGAAAUGCCAAUUUGGGGAGUUGGUGAGGAAAACAAGAUUCACAGUGCAAUGACAUGCCUUGCUGUUGCGGUCUCCCAGGAUAUGAUGAGUGUGAUUCCUUCUUGGAUACAGACACGUGAACAAUUGGGCACCACCACCACAUGUGCCAGCGGAUGUGAUGCUUGAGAUCUUGAAUCUCCACGAAACAAAAGAGCGAUUCAUAACAGAGUUUGGAGAACAAGGUAGGGGAAGGAGGGUUGAUGAUGAUGAUGAUGAUGAUGAUGCUGGUGAUGAGAAGAACAAAGAGGGGGAUAUCGCAGAGGUUUCAGAGAGAAAGAAGGGCACCUCGAAUGCGAUGGUGGAGAGAGCCUCCUUUCUUGUGUAGGUCGUCCUGGCGUUCGGCACCGCGGCAUGAAGCAUACAGCCCAGUGACUGCCACUGGUUCAAGCUGAUGGAGUCCCCCACAAACAUAAUCUUCUUGCCUUUCCACCUCUUCAGCAAAUCUUGGCCGUCGAACCUUCAGGAUUCCCCCAUUCACUUGGUGCGAAAUAGCAGCGAGUAAUGAACACAGCAGAGAGAAGCUAACCUUGGGAGCUCACAACCAUCAGGCUUCCACCUGUACUUGAGGUACAUCUUGUCGGUCCGGCCGUAUCGCUGGCAAUCGAACUCUGGCUGCAGAAAGGGGCAACUUGAGGAGUCGUAGAGCGGGUAGGUCUCGUCGUAAACCCACCUCCCUCGGAACAUGUUCUUGCAACUGACACCACUCGCCCUCUCCCACUUCCUCGCCGACCCGCCGUUGUUGCGACGCUUGUGAGCUAAGCUCUCUGUCGUUAUGCCAUGCAAAGAGGCAACUAGAAGUAACAGUAAAGUGCAGUGGAGCCCAAAAUUCCCGAAGGUUUUGGAUCCCAUAUGGGAGGGGAAGAAGAAGAAGAAGAAGAAGAAGAAGAAGAAGAAGAAGAAGAAAAGAAGAGGUGAUGGCGAUGGGAGAGAGGAUCUACAGAUAGAGCGGUGUCAAGAGAAAUGGAGGUGGUAGAAUUUAUGAAACUGAGCUCACAAGGAUUUGGCUGUUCUGCUAUUUGCAGCAGUUCACUUUAUUGUUCUGUUCACGGUGGUAAAACGAGGACGGAGAGGAGGGAGGGGGGAUGUGGCAUGUCCUUUGCGAAAGGGGCCGAGCCUGGACAGGUUUGGAGUGUCAGAAGCAUAUCGCUAUUGAGAGGUGAUUUCAUGGACUUGCUUGGUGUCGUGGAGUGAACCCGCUUUGGGUUGGCUACAUGCAAAUACGUGUGCCAUCUUUGCCGACUGUGGCACCAUUCCAUCUGAUGUGGUUGAGACAAGCGUCACAUACUAAUCCCUCGGUGGCCAUUCCAUGGACGGGCAUGGCUUGUGUAUAAAGUGGCAGCAUGUAUACUCGUGAAAUACUCUCUUCAGACCAGUGCUUCUGUCACAAGAACAGGAGAUCAUAACUUCCAACCAUGGGAGGUAUGUAGUACUGCUUUUGUAGGAUGUCACGUCAUUGGUGAGACAUGCACCGCAGCAGAUCCAUAAAAUUAGGCUUUUUUUGGUCCUCGAUUUUAUUACGACGGUUGUGAUCAUAAUCGAGUCCUUUUAAUAUGUUUAUAUGCACACAUAUUUAACACGCAUAUGUUCACAUGUUAAAUAUUCUUUUA